GACGUAGGGCGCGAGCGUUGUCCGGAUUUAUUGGGCGUAAAGAGCUCGUAGGCGGUUUGUCGCGUCGUCCGUGAAAACUCACAGCUUAACUGUGAGCUUGCGGUCGAUACGGGCAGGCUAGAGUUCGGUAGGGGAGACUGGAAUUCCUGGUGUAGCGGUGAAAUGCGCAGAUAUCAGGAGGAACACCGGUGGCGAAGGCGGGUCUCUGGGCAGUAACUGACGCUGAGGAGCGAAAGCGUGGGGAGCGAACAGG
rnacentral:rRNA from 1 species